rnacentral:misc_RNA from 1 species
GAUGAAGAACGUAGUGAAAUGCGAUAACUAAUGUGAAUUGCAGAAUUCAGUGAAUCAUCGAGUCUUUGAACGCACAUUGCGCCCUCUGGUAUUCCGGAGGGCAUGCCUGUCCGAGCGUCAUUGCUGCCCUCCAGCCCGGCUGGUGUGUUGGGCCCCGUCCCCCUUCCCGGGGGGACGGGCCCGAAAGGCAGCGGCGGCACCGCGUCCGGUCCUCGAGCGUAUGGGGCUUUAUCACCCGCUCUUGUAGGCCCGGCCGGCGCCAGCCGACCCCCUCAAUCUAUUUUUCAGGUUGACCUCGGAUCAGGUAGGGAUACCCGCUGAACUUAAGCAUAUCAAUAAGCGGAGGA